UAUAGUUCCCAUAAAUUCUCAACACAUGUACACUUCUGAAGAUGAACAAGAUGAGAAAACCUACAACAUAUUUCACAACCAUUACACUCAUGGUAUUCCAUUCAAGGUAUAUAGCUUUUAGUGUUCAAUUCGGGUUCUUUUGGUUGCUUGGCCUGCUGAUAUUUUGUAUAUUGGGUUCAAGUGUUCAACACGGAAGUAUCUCUUUCAGAGAGCUUGCAAAAGAUUUAGCUGAAAGGGGUGUCAUUGUAUUCGCAGAUCUGGAGCAUGUUAUCCUGAAAAGUAGUUCAUUUCUUCUCUGUAUUGCUUACAUCUCUAGAUCUCUCCAUCAUGGUCAAUAAUUGUCUUUGGUUUGGUUCUACAUGCAGAAAUCCAGUUCAUAGUUCUUACACUAUCGUCUUUCUUCAUGGUUUUUCAUUGUCUUCUCAUUUUUCUUUAUCGAUUGUUUGUGUUGAUAUCUCUCCUUUUUUCCUAAAGGUUUCAAAGUCAAAGUCCCAAUGUCCUUCCUGUGCCUGCAAAAUUUUGGUGAGUUAUGUACUUUCUUCUUUCAUUUUUUAUGUGGAUUAUCUGUCGUUGUUUUGGUCAACUUAGUUUCAAUUGCAAGCUUUUUUGUAGAACAUACACUGAUCAAUUGGACUUCAUCUAAUUUCUUCAGGUAUUAAUCAAAAGAUAAGCUCUUUUUUCUAUAUUGUAAACCAAAAAAAAGCUUAUUGCAGGAUCGUUACUGCAAAAAAAAAGGGGAUUAGAUGAGAGCUAUCUCAUAUACAAGUGGUGAAGUGCCUUCUCAGGUUUCCAAUUACCUGCCCAAAUGAUCAAAUGGGUAACAGGUCAGGUUGGCAUGCAGGAAGAAGCAAGUAGAUUAAAUGGGUCAUCUCCAAAACACCUAUUAAGUAAGCUUUUGUGUAUCUUUUUGACCUUUUUUCCUGGGAAAUAUGCAACUUUGAAACUCAAUUUCUAAUUUUUUGGGGGUGGUUUAUGUUGUUUCGUUACAACGGGUUUUUGGCUUGGUUCAUGUACGUACAUAGCCUUAAAAUCUCACCAAAUGUAGUUUUCUGAAUGGAAAACAACAACUCUCAAAGUGCAUAUAGAUGUGAAAUUAGCUCUUAUGAACAUUGGCUUUGUUCUUUUUAACGAGGCUACUGCUUAAGGUACGUUAUCUUUUCAGGGCUUUUUCUCCCCAAUUUUUCUUCCUGAAAGGAGUGCAUUUAUAUGUCAUCAAAUAAUAAAUUGGAAAUGGUGUAGAGAAGGCUAUCCUUCAUACUACUUGGAAGAACUUGCUCAAAUUUAACGUCUUUUCAGCUAUUCGAUGGAGAUUUGAUGGAGAACACAAAGCAUGAACCGUGGCACUUGAAAAUCAUCUAAAUUUGAGUUUUAUUGCUUGAAUUUUGCUUCUUCUGAGCUCAAAUGAGGGUUUUGUAAGCCAUUGUUCAUUGUUCAAAUGAGGGUUUUUUCAUGUAUCUGUACCGUGUUUCCUCAGAUUUGGUUCCUUUGCUUUGCCACUUGGUAUACCGAUGUUGUAGUGCUGCGUUUGGUUAUUUAUCAACGAUUAAUCGUGUGUCUAAUGUUAGUGACCUUCAAUAUAAGAUUUACUUACUGCCUAUGUCUUAUAUAUCAGUUUACCAUUGCCUAAUGCAGGUGUGUUAGAUAGAUUGAUGAAAUGUAGAGUAAUAGUUGUCAUCAGAGCUUGAUCUAUAUGCUCUAUUUCUGUCUAUUUCUUUUCUUUUGUGAAAGUAACUUCUGCAAAUGUGAGUUUUAUGAUACCUAUGCGUGGCUAUGUGUGGUUGAGAUAUGAAUUGCAAUUAGAAAUUUCAUAUAAGCUUUUAUGUAUUUUCCAAUGAAUUUACUUUGCCUUUCAGCUGGAAUUUACUUUGCCUUUGGUAUGCCCUUAAGUCAAUCGUUUUGCAGCUUCCAUAGGAUAUUGAGUGGCAUUUUAUUGGGAAUUUGCUGAGCAAUAAACUGAAACCUUUAUUAACUGGUGUGGGAAACCUUGGCAUGGUAGAGAGUGUAGACGAUGAGAAGCCAUUUGUACAACAACGAGAGAACAGUCAACUGAAACUGACCCAACUUGAUCAAUAGCUACAGCAAGGUCAUAAAUGGCACUGAUGUUGUAUCUUAAAUCUCAAGAUAAGGUAAUUAGAUAAUUUAUUUACUGGGUGAUUGAACUUCUGAUAAGUUGAGGGUGUUUUUCACAGGUUUAUAAAUUGGGUUUAACCACUUGGUAUUGUGUGUUGAUUCAUCUAUCUCUGCAGACUUGACUCAAUAAGUUUGCAUCAUGUGUAUUUUUAUCAGCUUUUCUUUCUAGAUCAUCCAGUAUAUGGACCAUUGAGCGAGGGCUGGAAGCACAAAGGCAGUAUGCAGUUCAUGUCAGCUUUAUCGCUACUACAUGUUUCUUAAAUCUUUGGACUUAAGGUAUAUAGGAUUUCUAUUUUCGUAUGCCUAUGUCAUCCAAUUUAGUAAUACGCAUUAUUACUUAACCUGCAUAGUUGCUCCUAAAGUCAUAGAUGCUUGAGUUAUUUUUCCUACUGUUUACUUUCUCUAUGAUUGCAUAUGAGUUGCCCACUUACUUUAUUUUGUCUUUUUAUCAACUUAUUUGCAUUAUUAGCUUUUCAAUGCUAUUCAGUGUUUCCUCCAUGAAGCAUGUGGCAUCUAUGUAUCAUGUUCUCUAUUUCAUGGAUCUUCGACGGGUCAAGUGAGUAAAGUCGAUGCAGUUUAUGAGUUGCUUUUCCAGCUAUGCAGUAACAUGGACAGAUGAAUACAAGGAUGAAGGUCAAAGAAGUGGAUCAACAACAAAUCAGUUUCCAUCAUGAUCUUUUAUUUACUUCGUCUUCCUGUUCUUUCUUCAACUGAUAAUACAGAUGAUUACUAAUCUUUAUUAAUGAAGUCUUGCCAAAUAUGUUUGCAAAAGUGGUAUGCUUAU